AUCCCAAGUGCCUAUGCUUUACGCAUAGGCUGUUCCCUUGCCUAAAAAGCAAGGGGAGUAAGGGCUGGGUAAGACGGGUGCCAUCAUCCCUUCGGGUUAGACCCGCAGGGGAGGCAUAAGCCGCCGCGGUAAUACCCGCAGCCCAAGUGGUGGUCGUUUUUAUUGGGUCUAAAAAGUCCGUAGCCGGUUUGGUAAAUUCUUGGGUAAAUCGAGCUGCUUAACAGUUCGAACUCCGAGAACACUACUAAGCUUGAGACUGGGUGAGGUUAGAAGUACUCCUAGGGUAGGGGUGAAAUCCUGUAAUCCUUGGAGGACUACCAGUGGCGAAGGCGUCUGACUAAAACAGCUCUGACGGUGAGGGACGAAGCCCUGGGGCGCAAACGGGAUUAGAUACCCCGGUAGUCCAGGGUGUAAACGCUGCAGACUUGGUGUUGGGGAAGCUGCGAGCUUGCCCAGUGCCGGAGAGAAGUUGUUAAGUCUGCUACCUGGGGAGUACGGUCGCAAGACUGAAAUCUUGUGGACUAAUGUCUACAGACAGUAAACUUAAAGGAAUU
rnacentral:rRNA from 1 species